UACCGGUGGCGAAGGCGGCCCCUGGACAAGACUGACGCUCAGGUGCGAAGCGUGGGGAGCAAACAGGAUUAGAUACCUGGUAGUCACGCUGUAAACGAUGUCGAUUUGGAGGUUGUUCCCUUGAGGAGUGGCUUCCGGAGCUAACGCGUUAAAUCGACCGCCUGGGGAGUACGGCCGCAAGGUUAAAACUCAAAUGAAUUGACGGGGGCCCGCACAAGCGGUGGAGCAUGUGGUUUAAUUCGAUGCAACGCGAAGAACCUUACCUACUCUUGACAUCCAGAGAAUUUAGCAGAGAUGCUUUAGUGCCUUCGGGAACUCUGAGACAGGUGCUGCAUGGCUGUCGUCAGCUCGUGUUGUGAAAUGUUGGGUUAAGUCCCGCAACGAGCGCAACCCUUAUCCUUUGUUGCCAGCACGUUAUGGUGGGAACUCAAAGGAGACUGCCGGUGAUAAACCGGAGGAAGGUGGGGAUGACGUCAAGUCAUCAUGGCCCUUACGAGUAGGGCUACACACGUGCUACAAUGGCGUAUACAAAGAGAAGCGACCUCGCGAGAGCAAGCGGAACUCAUAAAGUACGUCGUAGUCCGGAUUGGAGUCUGCAACUCGACUCCAUGAAGUCGGAAUCGCUAGUAAUCGUAGAUCAGAAUGCUACGGUGAAUACGUUCCCGGGCCUUGUACACACCGCCCGUCACACCAUGGGAGUGGGUUGCAAAAGAAGUAGGUAGCUUAACCUUCGGGAGGGCGCUUACCACUUUGUGAUUCAUGACUGGGGUGAAGUCGUAACAAGGUAACCA
rnacentral:rRNA from 1 species